GACGGGGGGGCAAGUGUUCUUCGGAAUGACUGGGCGUAAAGGGCACAUAGGCGGUGAAUCGGGUUGAAAGUGAAAGUCGCCAAAAAGUGGCGGAAUGCUCUCGAAACCAAUUCACUUGAGUGAGAGAGAGGAGAGUGGAAUUUCAUGUGUAGGGGUGAAAUUCAUAGAUCUACGAAGGAACGCCAAAAGCGAAGGCAGCUCUCUGGGUCCCUACCGACGCUGGGGUGCGAAAGCAUGGGGAGCGAACAGG
rnacentral:rRNA from 1 species